AGAGUUUGAUCCUGGCUCAGAAUCAACGCUGGCGGCGUGCCUAACACAUGCAAGUCGAACGAGAAAGUGGAGCAAUCCAUGAGUAAAGUGGCGCACGGGUGAGUAACACGUGACUAACCUACCCUUGAGUGGGGGAUAACCUCGGGAAACCUUGGCUAAUACCGCAUAACACCUACGGGUCAAAGGAGCAAUGCGCUGGGAGAGGGGCCCGCGGCCGAUUAGCUAGUUGGCGGGGUAACGGCCCACCAAGGCGAUGAUCGGUAUCCGGCCUGAGAGGGCGCACGGACACACUGGAACUGAAACACGGUCCAGACUCCUACGGGAGGCAGCAGUGGGGAAUUUUGCGCAAUGGGGGAAACCCUGACGCAGCAACGCCGCGUGGAGGAUGAAGGGCUUCGGCUCGUAAACUCCUUUCGACCGGGACGAGUAGAAGACGGUACCGGUGGAAGAAGCCCCGGCUAACUACGUGCCAGCAGCCGCGGUAAUACGUAGGGGGCGAGCGUUGUUCGGAAUUAUUGGGCGUAAAGCGCGUGUAGGCGGUUCGGUAAGGCGGAUGUGAAAUCCCGGGGCUCAACCCCGGGCCGGCAUCCGCGACUGCCGGGCUGGAGUGUGGGAGGGGAGAGCGGAAUUCCUGGUGUAGCGGUGAAAUGCGUAGAUAUCAGGAGGAACACCGGUGGCGAAGGCGGCUCUCUGGACCAUAACUGACGCUGAGACGCGAAAGUCAGGGGAGCAAACAGGAUUAGAUACCCUGGUAGUCCUGACUGUAAACGAUGGAUGCUAGGUGUGGGCGGUUCAUUCCGUCCGUGCCGUCGCUAACGCAGUAAGCAUCCCGCCUGGGGAGUACGGUCGCAAGGCUGAAACUUAAAGGAAUUGACGG
rnacentral:rRNA from 1 species